rnacentral:rRNA from 1 species
CUUACUACUUGGAUAACCGUGGUAAUUCUAGAGCUAAUACAUGCUAAAAACCCCGACUCACGAAGGGGUGUAUUUAUUAGAUUAAAAACCAAUGCCCUUCGGGGCUCUCUGGUGAUUCAUAAUAACUUCUCGAAUCGCAUGGCCUUGUGCCGGCGAUGGUUCAUUCAAAUUUCUGCCCUAUCAACUUUCGAUGGCAGGGUCUUGGCCUGCCAUGGUUACAACGGGUAACGGAGGGUUAGGGCUCGACCCCGGAGAAGGAGCCUKAGAAACGGCUACUACAUCCAAGGAAGGCAGCAGGCGCGCAAAUUACCCAAUCCCGAUUCGGGGAGGUAGUGACAAUAAAUACUGAUACAGGGCUCUUUUGGGUCUUGUAAUUGGRAUGAGUACAAUUUAAAUCCCUUAACGGGGAACAAUUGGAGGGCAAGUCUKGUGCCAGCAGCCGCGGUAAUUCCAGCUCCAAUAGCGUAUAUUAAAGUUGUUGCAGUUAAAAAGCUCGUAGUUGSAACCUUGGGSCUGGCUGGCCGGUCCGCCUCACCG